ACACAUAUGUAUCUGCGCCCACAGAGGCAACCAUGUGUGCUGGUCGUCGUGUCCUUCGCUUCAAGGAUUUGCUGUGGCUCCCAUUGCCUGCUGGCCGUGUAAUCGCAAAUAAUCAUCCACUUAGCGUCAUGAAACUUUAUGCCAAAUGCUCCUCCGUCCGGCUUAGCAGAGAGCCGUGCAGUUGAGCUCAGCUGAGAAGCUGAAACGCGGCACUCAAAUGGCCAGGCCCUAAGAGACCCUAAGAGAGUCAGUCCCAUAUAAAGUGCCCGAACAUAGUCAUAAUAAUGUUUAUUAUUGUUCGCAAUUGAGCACAUGCCGACUAUUUGUUUGCUCUGACAAUGUUACGCAUAAAAGAUACAAAUGGAUUUCACAUACCGCACAGUACUCAAAGUGUGUGGCUGUGGCUGUGGCUGGGGCUGUGGCUGGGGCUUUGCUGUGGUUCCUGGUCUUAGCAUCUUGCUUAAAGCCAAAGGAAAUGCUCGUUAAGUGAAUGUGGAUAGGAAUCCCAGAAAUAGCUGGCAGGCAAAUUUAAUUUCU